UUAUUAAAAACGUAAAUAUUAAUUCAAACAUAUUAAGUAUACAUGUAAACACAUAAGUUCAUUUUGUUCAAAAUACCAAGUCUUCAAGUCCUUACAGGUUUUCACAUAAUCUGAUCACUUUCUGGUCUGUGUCAUUAAAAAUGCCAAACGCUUAGAGGGCACAGCAGCGUAUUCUGUGUUUCCUGAAUAUCAUUUCAGGGGCUAAUGAGUAGUCACCAGAGGAGAGAGAUACACAAGCUACACUGAGAACACAAUGUUCAACAAACUGACAGAAAAGAAAUGAAUGAGAGAGAGACCCAGACAGAGAAAGAGGCGUUAUCAGAUGCAUUUUAGACAGCAUGUAACCCAAUGGAACGGCUUUGCUUUAGAGAGGCUGCCUUGACCUUUUCAGUAUUCAUCACCAGAUUGCAUCUCCAGCCCCUAAACCAAUCAGCACUGUGGAAUUUCCAGGUCAGCGUAACCACCUCAAAGUAAAGGUCAAUAUGGAGCAUCCAGGUUCCGCAAUAACUUGGAGAUGGUGCAUGGCGAAGAGGUUUAUCUACCUGGCAAAUGACAUAUUACCCCACCGUGGCUUGAGUCCCUUUUAGUCCACUGCGGGACUAUGUUGGCUGGCUGCAGAAAAAGAUACAUGGACAAGGAGGGGCUGUUUACAGCCAAUUUCUGGGCCUGGUGACAGUAAGUGAUGGAUGAGCUGACACCAUUGUCAAAGCAGUAACGGAGGUCCUCACAAAAAAGAACAUUCCCAUCCAGAAGAUUUAUGGCCUGAAGACAGAUGGAGCAGUUGUCAUGACUGGGAGAGAGAGUGGGGUGGCCAUGCAGCUACAGGACACCUUCCCAUGGUUGGUGUCAGUUGCAUGUGCCCCACACCACCUCGCCCUGUGCUGUAAGGACGUUUCAUCAGGAGUGGCUUAUAUGGACUACUUCAGGGACAUUUUACAGCAGCUACACCUAUACCUUAGGAACAGUGCUAAUGGCACAGCUGGACUCUGGGCUCCAGCAGAGUGCUUGGGCAUGGAUAACCUGAAAGUGAAGGUAUCAUAAAGGGAAAAAAUAUCUAUUCCAUAUUUGGAGGCUGUUGCAAGCCAUGGCCAUUUCCAACCUGCAGCAACACCUGAGCACUGUCCUGGUGGCCUUGGCCAAGAAAACUGAGCUUAAGAAAUGGCCAACAGCCAAGGCGUUGUACAGCCUACUGAUCACCCAUUGUUUUGUGGCAUCGGUGCACCUGCAAGUGGAUGUGCUACCACAUCUCAGCAGGCUGACGAAAGUGUUCCGGAAGGAAAAUGUGAACUUCGUGGCUCUGAAAGUUCAAGUACCCUCCAGUAUUUUAUUUCUGACACCACUGACCAUACAUUGCUCAUACUAACCAGAUACCUGCAGUUGCAUUUACACCUUAUGUUAUUAGGUCCCUGUAACAAUGGCCUGCCUCUGAGCAAUUAAGGAUGCUGGAGACUGUCAGCCAACUGGGUCUUUCCUGUCAAAGCUCGACCCAGACCUGGACAACCCUGCUGGACUCAGGGCUUAUAAUAUUGUCCAUGAGGAGGAGAGGAACAAGAGAGGUAGACAUGAAGAGGGACUGACUAGGGAUGAGCUCUGGGCCCAGUUCAGGAGCCAAGUGAUGGAUCCAUAUACUGAUGGCCUACUGGAGAGCCUGAGGAGGAGGUUUCAAAACCUGAACCUUUUAGGCCUUCCAUGUGCUCAUCCCUCGGGCAGCAGCUGAUGAUAAGACAGUUAACGUGGCCAAUUUGCAGCUCCUUGCUGGCAAAUUUUUACAGAGCCAUGAGGUGCUGCAGGAAUGGCCUUCUUUCAAGCAGCAGAUGCUAGAUGGGGCAUUCAACGUAUCAUGAAAUGAAUUACAGUGAGUCAUAUGCCUUUUCACAAGUUUUCUAGCCUAGAUUGAUGGUUGUGUUUAAUUUGUUUCAGGACAUGGAUCAGCAGCACCUGAUGUAGUGCCUUGCAUCAGAAGUGGGUGAAUGGGGGCAGCUCUACCCAUCACUGAGCAAGCUGGAGGCCAUUGGCCUGACCACCCCAGUUUCCAGUCCCAUAUCCACUCCUCUGUUGAUUAUUAUUUUUGUAUUUACAGUUGAAGACUGACCGCAGAAAUCGUUUACAGGGGGAACACCUUGCCACUUGUAUGCACUUGAGCAUCAAUGGCCCCCCAACAAGAGAGUUUCCUUUUGGGAGAGCCUUAGAGCUAUUCUUUCAGAGCCCUCAAAAGAUCAAAUGCUCUCAGACACGAUGCCAACUAUGCCACCACUAAGGCUUUGUUUUAGACCCACCUUGAACCUUGAGUGUUUGGGGACGAGAAUAGGAUAGGGUAGGGAGCUUAAAGAAGUGGAAGGAAGGGAAUGGAGGGGACGGCAGAAAGGUUGGGAAGGCCAGAGGUGUGAACGAUGGGUAGUAUUUGUAGUAUUUGUUAUGUGAUGUUACUGUAUAUGGGUGGUUGUUGAUAUAAUAAAUUUUUUGUUCAAUAAA